rnacentral:rRNA from 1 species
UACGAAGGGGGCUAGCGUUGCUCGGAAUCACUGGGCGUAAAGCGCACGUAGGCGGCUUUCUAAGUCAGGGGUGAAAUCCUGGAGCUCAACUCCAGAACUGCCUUUGAUACUGGAGAGCUAGAGUCCGGAAGAGGUGAGUGGAACUGCGAGUGUAGAGGUGAAAUUCGUAGAUAUUCGCAAGAACACCAGUGGCGAAGGCGGCUCACUGGCCCGAUACUGACGCUGAGGCACGAAAGCGUGGGGAGCAAACAGG